UACGAAGGGGGCUAGCGUUGUUCGGAAUCACUGGGCGUAAAGCGCACGUAGGCGGAUUGUUAAGUCGGGGGUGAAAUCCUGAGGCUCAACCUCAGAACUGCCUCCGAUACUGGCAAUCUCGAGUUCGGAAGAGGUUGGUGGAACAGCUAGUGUAGAGGUGAAAUUCGUAGAUAUUAGCUAGAACACCAGUGGCGAAGGCGGCCAACUGGUCCGAUACUGACGCUGAGGUGCGAAAGCGUGGGGAGCAAAUAGG
rnacentral:rRNA from 1 species